UGCUGUGCUGUGUUCUCGGCUACUGCGUUAGUAUGUUUCGUUAUUUAGAGAGUUUUGUCAGCUGGCACUUUACGUAAUGUACGCCUAGACGCUGCUGUUUUUGUGUGGGUGGUUUCAUUUUGAAUGCACAUAUUUAUUACUUAAUGAUUGGUUAUAUCUGAUCAGAGUAUGAGUAUGACUACAAAUGCAGAAAAGGUUACAUCACCAUUUAAGCUAAUAUGAACAAUUAAAUCAUGGUUUAAUUUCCCAUUGGGAUUCUGUCUAGAUGAGAUGAUGUACUAGAUAUUUUAACGAGAAAACCAAUAAUUUAACCGAAAUCAGAAUUCAAUUGUGAUUGUGUCAUACGAUUUUGUCGAAUUCAAAGAAAAGUCGUUUUUUGCAGAUUUUGAUACGGAACGCCGUUUGACCCUUUUUUUAUAGACAACUCUUUUUCGAUAGUUGUCCGUUUUUUAGCAAAUAAAUAGAUAACUUGUACUGCCAUCUAGCUGUCAAAAACAUCACUUGAAGGAGGGAUUUCAAUAGGCGACGCCUUCAAGGGAGGAGGAGUCUACAACAUAUUGAAUUUAUCGAUCGAUUGUUAGGUCUAUUUUCGGUAGCCAUUGUGUAGUUAUACCAUGGCCUACUAUUACACCAUGGCCAUAGAAUCGCGACCUAGAAGAAGAGAAUCAAUUAGAUUGUUUAAUGGCGUAGGUUUUCGUAGUUUUCGACGCGAUGUGAUUGUGUGUUAAUUGGUGGAGAAACAUUGUCGUAAUUGGAUAUCGGAACGGAUUUCCAUAAUGUACACGUGUUGUAACCGACCAGCACAAAAUUGAUACAUUUUUUUUCAUUUAUCACAAAUUGGUUAUCAGCAGCAUUUCCACUCUAUAGCAGCAGAAGCCAAGCUGUUCAGUCAACGGAAGACCAUUGUAAUUGCAUUUUAUGAGAUACAACAACUUUGUUGCCAAUAACAACAUGCUGCAUUAAUUUUUGUCCACAGCAAAAAUAAAAUGCAACUUCUUUCACAGGAGUAACACAUUGUGUGGUUUAAGUUGUUAGCUACCAUAGUCUCCUGAUAGUUUGAGUCUGACAAUAAGCAAUACCAUAUUGUUAUUUGUUUCUUCCCUUUGCAGAGAUGUUAGCUUGUUGUGAUUUUAGACCAUGGUAUAGACUGACCCUUUGUAUCUGUGUCAAACCAGUUACAUCAACUCACUUGUUGUUGACACCCCUGGAGAUAUUACCAAACUUUCGAAAUGGUUGAAGCAGGCACCCAUAAUAUGUCGAUUCAAUUUUAGUGCUAUCACUGUAAGGAUGGUAACCUGUUAUUAAGUUACACCACCUGUUUCAUUUGGCCAUAGGAUAGAUAUACCAAAAGAGUGAUACUCUUUAAUGUUUGCAGUGUGUUUGUCACAUUCAAUGAAUCCAUAUCUUCUCGUGAAUUGAUGGACUGAAUAAUGUCACAUUGCCAAAAAAAACAAACACUGGAACCCUUCUGCAUGACUUUGAACCACAAGAUAUUGAUCUUUUUUACAUUCGCCUUUUGGGUUGAACGGUAAAGAGUUUCACGGUUCACUGUUUUAUCCGAAAAUCAUAUAUCCACGAAAUGUUGGCAUCAUUGGUCUAUGAACAGAUAUGCUGAUGACUGAAAUCAAUUGGAUCAGCUGAAAACAUAUGUGGAGACAUCUAUGCAACUUUGUACUUGGAUAUGUGUCAUUCCACUGGUAGUGGCUAAAGAAUCAAACUUUGAAUCACGUGUCUUCAACCAACUCACCUCAUCUUGGCCUGACCAGUAUCGGCCCGAAGAAAGUAGUCAACUAGUCACACGUCAGAUAACAAAUCCUGCUAAGUAAACCAUAUGAUAAGGAAGUGAACAUCAAUCAUUCGAACGAUUUUAGCCAUAUCGGAUAUCGGAAAGGAACACCUUUACCGAACAUAAUGUUCUUCUAACGUAAAUUAUUGGAUGUUCAUUCUAUGUCGGAUUUAGAUUUCAUUUAGAAAUCCUGGCAGAAGCUUUUCAUUUAUAAGACCAUAGAAGGAUUGCACACACUAAUGUUUUAAAGUUAAUAAACGUAGUAAAUGGAAAAUGGGGUUUCAGAAUGAGGCGGGAAUUUGUCAAUGCCGAAGUUUGGAAACACGAUCGGAAAUACCCAUGAAAUGAAAAACAUUCUCUCACGUUAUGGUAUUUGUCGUACAUAAAUUGAAGUGCAUAUCUGGGCUCCCUUGUUUUCUGUGGCCCCGUUUCCCCUUGACUCGUAAUAAGCCCGUAGGGGGUCACGCCCCUACUGUACGGUAUAUAUAAAAACAACAUAUAUCGAGGU